rnacentral:rRNA from 1 species
UACAGAGGGUGCAAGCGUUGUUCGGAAUUAUUGGGCGUAAAGAGCUCGUAGGCGGUCUGUCGCGUCUGCUGUGAAAAUCCAGGGCUCAACCCUGGACCUGCAGUGGGUACGGGCAGACUAGAGUGCGGUAGGGGAGAUCGGAAUUCCUGGUGUAGCGGUGAAAUGCGCAGAUAUCAGGAGGAACACCGGUGGCGAAGGCGGAUCUCUGGGCCGUAACUGACGCUGAGGAGCGAAAGCAUGGGGAGCGAACAGG